AUGACUUUGGUCUCCGUCCUCAUCUGGACUCUCCUCUGCUGCUGCUUCACAGAGUCCAGAGGACAGGUCACAGUGACUCAGUCUGGAGCAGUGAGAUCUGCUCUGGGAGGCUCCGUCACCAUCAGCUGUAGAACCAGUCAGGAUGUUCAUGUUUAUAGCAAUUACCAGUAUUUAAACUGGUACCAACAGAGAGAUGGAGAAAAACCUAAACUCCUUAUUUACGCUGCUUCCAUUCGAGCAUCAGGGAUUCCAGGUCGUUUUACAGGCAGUGGAUCAAACUCUGACUUCACUCUGACCAUCAGUGGAGUCCAGACUGAAGAUGCAGCAGUUUACUACUGUCAGAGUCUCCACUCUAUCAACAGUCAGCUUGUGUUCACACAGUGA